UACUUUUCACCCACCCCUGUAGUUAUGGAAUUCCAGAGAUGAGGAGCAAUGUGGCUAAAGGCUGUAGAGUCCAUGGUGGUCAAGCGGGCGUGGAGGAGCCUUAAUGAGGAAAAGCGAAGGGUGUGAGGGGGUGUAAAACUGAACUGUGCUUUAAAACUGUGUCACUAAUUUUUUAUGUGGAUUUGAUGUUCUCGAUAGACAGCCCUUGCUGAACACCAGGCCAAAAUGCUUAAGUGGGAAAAUAUGAUGGAUAAAUGCACUGGAGGGCAGAAAAAUGGCUGGUGGGAUGAUUUCAAAGACUAGUUUCGGACCACAUUGACUUUACAGGAUGAUCCUUGUAAGGAAUACUUUGAGCUCCUGACUGUGCAUCCAAUUCUGCAAGUGCCUCCGACCAAGGUUAUCACUGUUACCCUCACCACCCUUUUUACAGAUCCUCUGAUGCAUAUAGGACAAGGCAUUAGCGCGUUUCUCAGGGCCUUACUGAAAGAUCUGCCAAUUACACUACAGAUACCUGUGCUUAUUUUAUUUGUGCCCUUCAGCCUGGUGUUUUUGUAUGGUGUUGGUCGAGCAGUAGUUCUGCUGCAUUGGAGCCAGCAAGGCCGAUGGCAAGAUCCUCCACCUGCCGUUGCAGAUCAGGAUGAUGCUCCUCCCAAUAGACUGAACAGAGUGAAGGAGUGGACGUCUGUGAAAACCCUACGAAUGCGGAACGCCUUUACAGCGGGGAUGAGACAGACACUUGGAUCAUCAUACCACAGAGAAGUGCACACCAGCAACAUCUAAGUUUCAUUUUUUCAACCCUUUUUAAAAACCAAAACUAUUUGCUUUUUUUUAUUAUUAUUUUAUUAUUUACGAUCACCUGAUUUAUGCAUUUUCAGUUUUUCAGGGCCUCUUUUUUUAUUUAUUUAUUGUAGGUAGGUGAUUUAGUAACCAUAGAAGUAGAUGCAUCCAAAACAGAAGACUGUGUUAAAAAUAUUUUACUUUACUGUAAUUGUUGUCCUUUAA